UGCUUACAACACUGAUUGGAAACCACAUGUUGAAAACGUAUCGUUGGAUUGGAUACUAAAUUCGGCGUACUUUUCUUUCUUGACAUUUUUAUUCGUGAUAAUGGUAUUUAUCUGGUAACAGCCUAUGAUUUCUACAUGGCAAUUUCAUCUGAUCAUGUGGCCUGAGCAGCUGAACAUUUUGCCAAAAUGUCUCUUUUUCCUGUACCAGCUUCACGUUUGUCAGAAACAUUUCAGAGCAAUUCAGGAUUAACACCCUGGUGGAGUUUGAGCUUCUUUGUUGCUGCCUAACUUACACAUGGAUUUGACGCACCCAGCUGAGGGCUUUAACUCUUGUUUAGCGUUUAUAUUCGCGUAGUUGCUGUCCGAUGUGGCACGUUGUUGCAGCCUAUGCUGGUGAAAGAUCUUUCUACAUAAAGUUCAAUUGGCCGUUCCUUGGUGCUGAUGUUGUGUUACCAAAGUUGCAUCAUAUUUUGUUAAAUGUCAUCUUGACUAUUACAGUUUACCGUUUACAAGUUCAGAAGUAACAAAAACAAAUAUGGGGUGUUUAUGUCAAUAAAUAAUAAACAUGUUUCCGGGAUUGGGGAAGGAAAGUGGAGGAUGUUGGAGGGAGGAUAUUUAAAGUUAAGAUAACAAUUCAGUUAAUCUAUAACCCUACAAACAUUGCCGUACCAAUUAAUCUCCAAACCCCACAAACAUAUACCUUCUAAUCCUUCAAACCCCGAAAACAUCCACCUACCAACCCUUAAAUUUAUACCCUUAACCCUAUAAACCAAUUUAAACCC